CGCGGUCAGAGGGCCGGGGCUGGAUGUCCACGACUCACUUGCAGACGGACGAGCAGAUGCUCAUCUCCAAGACAGUCAGGGAUGGCUUCCCAGGAUGAGGGAAAGAGCAUCGCAGGAAGCUGGGGGUCUGCGGGAGAAUGCGGCAGAGCUGGUCAUCCGCCUUGCGGCAGCCUGGAGCUUCUGACCUCGCAGCUUUCGGGCAUUCCUGGGGCGCGGGGGGGUGGGGGGUGCUGGCAGGUCCAGCCAGGAAUAAACCCCAGCCCCCCUCUGGACGCUCAACCAUGGCUGGAGGGUCUACCGGUGUUGGAGCCUCCGGACCAACCACGUUUCACCCAGUACUGACUUUUUUUCCAGCACGCACCCGUGUGACUGUUUUCUAAAAUGCAGGAAAUCACUGUUAAAUCCCGACGCGGCCGCGUGUCCACGGCCUCCGCGAGAGGGCACGUUGAAGACUGGCAAGUCUCGCACAAUCUUCUGUGUUUCCGUGUUGUGUGUUUACUGGGCUUAACUGCGCAGAUGUUUUUAAUGUGGAAGAAUGGGUAAAGAACACUGGAAAACUCACAGACGUUCGUGACCAGUGGACCCGCAUUCUGCACAGCAGUCAUGGAUCUGUAAUGGGAUAUGUAGCCCACCAGAGAGAAGGCCCAACACAGACCCUGGCCCUGUCCACAGCAGGCAGCACUAUCUGGAGACCUUGGGUCGGUGCUCUUCCUCACGCUACCUCAGCACUAUUAACGGGCUUCAGGAAGAUUGCAGACAACUCUCUGAGGACUACUUGUGAUAUAAUACACACAUCAUAUUGUCAAAGCCAUACAAUGCGUCUCUCCUCAGUGAUACUCUGGAACAGGAGUCCUCACACUUCUGAGAAGGGCCAAACAGCAGGAAAGGUGGUCAAGGGCGUAAAUCCACACUCAAAUCCAAUCCUUCUGGCUGCAAUCAAGGGGAAGCUAAGAGUGUCUGAGCAGCAAUUAUAAUUCUCCAUAGUGAGAAGGUUUCCAGAUGCUGCUCCUUUUCUGGAACGUUCUGGAAGUUUCUGGAAGGAACUAAA
rnacentral:lncRNA from 1 species